AAAGUGUUGCGCGUCCGUUUGCAUCGUACCGCGAACAGUUCAUUUCAUUUUAAUUAUUUCAGAAGUGUCGUGCAAAGUGUCGCGCAUCAGUUUUCAGUAUGCCGCGGACGAUUGUCAUUAACAUUUUCGCGAGUGAGUAUAGUGCGCGAGUGUCUGACGAAUUCUGAAGAACAACUUGAGAGGAGAAGGAGACGCAUCAAGUGACAGCGAAACAGCAUUAAGAUUGAUGGAGCUUCUAACUAAUUUAAUUCCGUUGCUGUGCAUCGAUCGAUACCAGUGGAACGGCCAUGUGAUUGCAAGAAAAUUACAGUCGUACUAAUUAAACUUUACAUCAGUAAGUGCAGAUAACUCGAGAAAUACAUUUUGCAGACUUCUCCGUUUCUAAUUUACAAAUAUCCUUAAGGAAAGUUUACAGACGUAAAAUAUAUUAUUCAGACGAAAAUGUUUAAAAAAAAUUGGAAAAUCAAACUAUUCGACAACCUCUUGCAUUGAUUCUUUCUUAUAAUAUAUAUAUAUCGAAUCGUCGAGAUAAUUAAAAUCAAAUAAAGAGACGAAAGUGAGAUAAGAUACGGUACAAAAUAACGAGGCAGCUCUAUUACAGCCGACGAGACGAAUUGGCAACUGGGGAUUAAAAUAACCCUGUGUUACUUCAAAAAUAUUGGCCAAGGGAAAUUGAUAUCAAACAUAAAUGCCUGAAAUUGGUUAGUAUCGAUUGUUAGAUAUUCAUUCGGCCGUGUCCGCAAACGCUAUUGGAAUUCAAUAAUUUAUUACAAUUCCAAUUUUCCUCGUUUUCUUUCGCUUCGCGGCUGUCAGAAUAUUCCAUUCUAGAUAAGGUAGAUUUCUUAU